GACGAACGCUGGCGGCGCGCCUAACACAUGCAAGUCGAACGGUGAAGAGGAGCUUGCUCCUCGGAACAGUGGCGGACGGGUGAGUAACACGUGAGAAACCUGGCUCUAAGAGGGGGACAACAGGUGGAAAGGACUGCUAAUACCGCAUGAGGUAUCGGGGCGGCGUCUGCCUGAGACCAAAGAUUUGAUCGCUUAGAGAUGGGCUCGCGACUGUUUAGGUAGUGGGCGGGGGAACCGCCCACCAAGUCGAGGAUCAGUAGCCGGACUGGGAGGUUGAACGGCGGCCUUGGGAAUGGCCCACGGCCCCGCCUCCGGCGGCAGGGAGGAAUGGGGGAUAUUGGGCACUGGGCGGAACCCUGAUCCCCCGGCGCCGCGUGACGGACGAAGGUUUUCGGAUUGUAAUCCUCUGUUACCGGAGAAAUAAUUGCUGGUAUUCGUUUAGAAGGCCACGCCUACCUCCGU
rnacentral:rRNA from 1 species